UACAGCAAAGAUAACGAGGCAAUUCAUUAGAACUUAAUUUGUAACAAAUUAUUUCUGUGGAAAGAGCAAAUGAUAACAAAAGGAUAACUCUAGAUUUAUGGAAUUGAGAAUAUUCGGAAGAAGGCUGAAAAUGAGAGACAAAUUCCAAUACUGAGGACACCAAGCAGUGAAGCACUUUGAGGACUGGACUACUUCAUAAUAGCCUCUGUUAUUUUGCCUGUUGGUGCAGCUAUGAGAGAAAUGCAAGAAUUUUCAGAUUUCCAGCUGAGAUUUCCUACAGGACCACAAUGAACUGGACCUCAAGAGAUACUUGUCCCUCCAUCAUGUGCUUCCAGCAGUUUAUGGAUGACAGAUAAGCAGUGCUCAGGAGUCCCUGCCAAGCUCUGUACACCUGACAAGUAUGAAAAGGACACAGAAGGUAUCUUUGCCAGAUAGAGAUGGCCACAAAACUUUGUGGUUAAAAACAGCUGACAAAGCACCAGCCCACAAGGGAGUUGCCAGCUCUGGAACAUGAGAUGUUGCACUAGCAUCCAUUUCCCACCUCCUCCAGAAAGAAGAGACAAGGGGAGAUAGAAAUACAGGACUGCACCAGAAUGAAAGAGUUGUAAAACUCACAAACAGAUUAACAGCAUAAUUCAAAAUUCAUUAAUAAUGGUGAGCCUAAUUCAGCCUGGUUUCUGAAUUCUGCACGUGCUUCAGUCAUGGGAUAUCAAACACUGUGUGUCAUCCAGCAGCCUGUCAGAAAUAAAAGGACAUAUAACUGAAAAAGCAAGUAAGGCUGGCUU